rnacentral:lncRNA from 1 species
GCAGUUAAACGACUUUAUUAAUUUCAGAGUAUGGCAGAACGUUUACUAAAUUACAUAAAAAAAAAAGUCGUCACGAGAAUUCCAAAAUAAACAAAUAAAUAAUCUAAAGGUCAAUUUGGUAAAUUAACAUCGUACCUUUGUUGUAUAAAUAUACCCCAAAUCCCAAAAUGAGUACUCGCAAAUUCAAAAUUACAAUCCUCACCCUCCUCAAAUCGCUUAAAAAAAAUUCAAAUCUCUGUGAAAUCGGAAAAAACAUGUCUCAAGUAAUCGCAAGCCACCGUGAAAAUGCCGAAAUUUACACAGAUCCGGUGGUUUGCAAGCAGAAAUCACUUGAACUCCUGAAGGAAAUCAACAUGCCUAAUGGUCUUCUCCCACUUGAAGACAUUGUAGAAGUCGGCCGCAACGCCGAAACCGGAUUCGUGUGGCUGAAACAGAAGAAGGCGAAAGAGCACAAGUAUAAGAAGAUCGGGAAGCUCGUCUGGUACGAUACUGAGGUGACGGCGUUUGUGGAGAAUCGCCGGAUGAAGAAGCUCACCGGCGUAAAGAGCAAGGAGAUCCUCAUCUGGGUUACGAUUUCUGAUAUUUCAAUUUCCGAUCCGGAGUGUAAGAAGAUUAACUUUGCUACCCCUACUGGACUUUCUAGGUCUUUUCCUGUGUCGGCUUUUGAAGAGGAGGAAGAAGAAGAGGAGAAGAAGUGAAGCUGAAGGUUUCAGGGGUAUUUUAAGGAAUUAAUAAUGUGUUCUUUUAUUUUACUAGUACUAUUUAAAUAAUUAAAUUACUGUUUUUUUUUAUAAUCUAUUUUAAUCCUAUCCUAUGUAACCAAAGUUAAAAAUGAAAAUGGAACUAUAGUUUAUACUGGAUUGUAUUUCUCUUUCUAUUUGGACCUUUUUAGCUGCAUACAUAAAAUCUACACCUCUGAUUCAUUUUCAUAUAAUUAAGAAAUUUACAAAAUAUAAAAUGUGGUGAAUUUUGAACUGUAAGAAUGUUAAAAAUGAUUUUACUAGGUAAAUAUUUCAAAGUUUUUCUUAAUUCAUUCCACGAUUUUUUACGAGCAAAAGAUAUAACUUCUAUUAGUUGAUAAGUUAUUCACUAUAACUUCUGGACCAAGUUAAUGUAACUUGAUAGAAUGAAUAUAAAUAUUAAUUAAUCAUGAUUAUGUACUGUUUAUUUUUUUUUUAACCGUGAUUUUUAAUAGCGUUUUGCGAACCUAACCCAUCACAUCCGUUGUUUCAAGACGGAUGCACCACAAUUAAUUUCACGAAAUUCUAGAAAUGUGAUGCGUCUAUAAUGCCUCAGUGGCCCUACUAAGAUUCAAACUGAAAGACUUUAUUCUCAGUUGAGCUAUGCAGAUUUAUGAUUAUAUACUGUCAUUUGUAUGUUUAUAUAUGCGUAGCUAUUAUUUAUUCAUUUGAAAUAAAUAUCGAUAUAAAUGCUUAUCACCUACUCAAUCACAAAAUUCUCAUCCCAAAAUAAACAAAAAGGAAAAAAAAAGGAUAUUACUCCUAUAAGAAGAAAAGGCAGAAAAAGACGGUACAUGCCAUGAAUUUGGAAAUCGAAUAGGUGAAUUUUUUAUUUUUUAUUCCUCGAUGAGUAUUUGAGUUUAAUAAAAUAAAUUAGAUUUAUAUUGAAAAGUUUAUAUAUUAAAAAAUAUAAAUUAAAAAUUUCUAAUUAAGAAAUGAAUAACUCUAUACUCAAGAACUCUCUAUAAAAUAAAUAAAAUAAUACUUAUAACUCCGUCGUGUAUCUUGGUGGAUAAGCAGCUGGAGUUAAGUUCUGAAAAACAAAUGAGGACAGAUAGCAAUUAAGAGAGGAGAAGGUAGGUGACCUAAAUUUUAAUUGUCAUAUGAGUGUGUAAUAGGCACAGCUAAAUGGGUGCCUAAAUUACAACGUGUCAGUGUGUAACAGCAUUUUAAAAAAGACAAGAUAAUAAUAAUUAAUAUAAUAAAGUUAUAAUUUAAUUUUUAUUAAAUAUGAUUUCAAAAAAGAAUGAAUUAAAAUUUAGAAUUUUUUAAAAAGUUUAAAUGAGAGUAUAAUAGGUAAACAAAAUUUAUUCUUUCUUGAUUUGUCAAAAUGGACAAGUAAAUAAGGACAUCUAAAAGAGAAAAUAUCGACAAGUAAAUAGGGGCAGAGGGAGUAAUAAAUAGGGAAAAGACACAGAUUCCCUGUUAAACUUAUCUCGAAAAGUCAGAUACACGCUUAGAAUAUCGUGAUGACUUAUUAUACAUCUGAACUUGUUUAAAGUGAUAUUAAUGACCCCUUCCAAAGACAAUCCCAAUUUUUGUGUGAGAAAAUGUUAUACACACGUUUUAAUGAUGUAAAUAAUAUUUUUUUAUAUCUUUCUUUUAACCUUUUCCCUUAAUAUUUUCUCACACUUCCCAACAUAGUUGUUUCUACUAUUUGUGUUUUUCCUCCCCUCUCCGUCCUUUUACUUUUUUAAAUUCAUUUCUUCUUCGUUCUUCAUAAACUGAAGCAAAAAGAGAGAAAAUAAGACUAAAAUAGUAAGAAGAUUAUCAAGAAGGAGAUGAUGACAGAUAGGCGGAUGCAACACCAUUGUUGUCGGUGAAAUAAAAAAACUCACAGAUCUAUAAAAUUACUUUCAGAUAUAUAUUUUUCUUUAGAGUUAUUGAUAUUUAUGGAUGCAAAUUAAGCAUUUCAUUUGUAUUUUUUCUGCGUAGUAAAUAAUCAAAUAUGCUAUUGAUGACGAAUUGAGACAAAAUAACAUUGUGAUUGGUGAUAAGAAUAGUGAAGACAAACAUCAAGUAAUCAUUUUCUUCAAUGGAUUUUGAAAAAUUUAGGUAAAUAUAAUCAUGAAUUUGAUGAAUAAAUAAUCAUAUUGUAUUUUCAAUAAAAGUCAUUAUCUCUCUAAUGAUUUUUUUUUCAAUAAUCUUUUUUAGUGGAUGCUCAAAUGAGUUUGAGCAUGAAGAUUAUAAAGUUAAUUGAAUUGAGACACUAUUGAAAAUCAUCUUCUUUUGCACUCCUUUCUAGUUUUUAAGAGUUUUUCCGUAAGAGUUUGAAUAUAUGUCCAUAGGUAUGAGGCUAAUGGACAAUAAUUAAUGGUAAUAAAGUUAUAAAGAACUGUUGAAGAAAAAGAUGUCAAAACAAAAAAAAAAUGCGAAAACAUUUUAAAAAAAUUGGGAGCACAAAUAAAAAAAAUAUAAUUAAUAUAUUAGAAAUUAUAAUACUUUAUUAUAUAAUGAUCAAUAAGAUAGUGCCACAUGUUUAAAUUUGUCAUUUUAACAUUUUUUUUCUUCUUCUCACGCACCUAAAGGAAGGUGAAAAUAUUUUCUCUGCCAUGUCACUCUAAUUAAGUUCAGGUGUGUAAUAGAUCAUCUGAAUAGUUAAAAUGUUCUAACUGACUGUUCGACACAAGUUUAAGGGGGAAUCUAUGUCUUUUCCUAAUAAAUAUUAUUUCUAUUAUUAUUUAUAUGUCAAAUUUGAUUUUUAUCGGAUUGAAAAUUGCUGGUAUAAGAUAGUGUUUUAUUUGAAAUUUAAAUUUAAUUGAUUCCUAAUAAAAAUAGCUGGAUAUUGCCGAUGAAAAUCGAAAAAAAAAAAAAAUAUUCGAUACAAAAUAGUUUAAAGGUGAAAUUGGCUCUCAUUCUCUCUUGUUUUGGAACCAGUGACGCCAUAAUUUUAUAUCAGUGAAUUCUAAAUUUUGAAAAAGAAUAACGAUCAAAGGGUGCGCAAUGACCACUGAGCCAAACGCUUCACUAUUAUCAUUGGUUCGCAAGAAAUAUAUAUACAUUCUACCUCAUAAUUUAUUACCAAUAUGAAAUUUACAAAAAAAUCAGUGAAUUCAGCUAAACCCCCCUCGGCUACUGUAGUUACGCCCCUUUUUUGAAACAAUCAUUAGAAGAAAGGAAUUUUUGUUCAUUUCGUUAGUUAGAGAAUACUAUUUUAAGCCAAAAUAUAAUAACAAGGACAUUUUGACCCAAAAUAUAUAUAUUUAGAGGUAAAUUCGAUAUAUUUUUAAUAGUUUAAGUCUCCAAAAACUUUCUUACUUUUUUUCACAACAAUAAAUAAUCAUCAUGAAAGAUUUCUCAGGCAUAUAAUUAGUUCUUCUUUGGAUUUUUAGUCUUUGCACCCUCAUGUUCAAAUUAAAAAAUUAUUCAAUUAGACCAUAGAUUACAAAAUUUUAAUCACUAUUUCUCAAAAUAAUCCAGUAACAAAGACCAUUACAAGAAUAGAGCGUCCUAAAUACUCAACUCGCUUCCUAAUGAACUUUCUCAUCGUUAGCUUUAAAUUCUUCUAAACAUAUCGACUUAAAUAAAAAAUAAAAUAAAAAAAAUUAUAUUUUAGAUAUAAUCAAGAAAAAAUAGAAAAAUAAUUUUUAUAAACAGAAGUAUCAGUAUCGAAAUUAAAUGGAUCUAUAUACUUCAAUUUUUGUGUGUGCUAAAAACCUAACCACGACAAUGCUAAUUAGGGGUGCUUACAAUUAAUUUUUGAUCCUUUUUAUUUAAAAAAACAAACACGUUUUAAAAAUUACAUAGAUAAAUAAAAAAAUUAACCUAUAUAGCCAUCUUAAAUAAACAAAAAGGAUAAUCAAUAAACAUACAAUACAAUUUUUUUUCCUGUACCAAUUUGAAUUAUUCCGAAUGAGACAUAAAAUCAUUAAAAAUUAAAAUUAUGUCCAAACGAAAUAUUACGAUACUAAAAUAUAAAUUCAUAUCCCGCAAAAGGGCUAAAAGUGCAAAUGACUCCAACGGGUCAAAAGCCCAACAAACAAAGAAGUAGAGCAACAAUGUCUUGUUAAUCAAGUUUAAAAACAAAAGAAGAAGAAGAAGAAGGAAUAAUCUUCAGUUCAAACAAAAUCUGAACAAAGGGUUUUUGGAUCUGUAGCAAAAUUUCAACAAAGAUGUUUCUUACAAGGUAAAAUUUGCAUUUGUUUGGUGCUUAAUCUACUUUUUUUUUGUUCAAUGAAAUCGGAAUUGAAUGAUUUUGUUUUCUUCCUGUAUUUUGGAAAUUGGGUAUGAAGAACUGAGUAUGAUAGAGGUGUUAACACUUUCUCGCCUGAAGGACGAUUGUUUCAAGUUGAAUAUGCUAUUGAAGCUAUCAAGGUAAAUUCUUUGAUUUUUGCUUCCUGUGUGAAUUUUUUUUUGGGGGACUGAAAAUAGCUGAUGGGUGUUUUUUUUUUUUGGUUUUAUGGUUUUGAAAUUACGAUUUUUUGAAGUUGGGUUCAACUGCAAUUGGAUUGAAGACUAAGGAAGGAGUUGUUCUUGCUGUGGAGAAGCGCAUUACUUCACCACUUCUGGUUUGUAACACUUGUUUCCGAUGUUUUUUUGUUACUUCUGUAUGGUUUACUGAUUAUGUUCAUGGGUUAUGGUUGGAUGGUAAGUUCAAUUUUUCAGCAAUAACAUCUAUAAGAAAUGCUGGUAGAGCUUCACCGAUGUAAAUUGAAGUAUGAAUUUUGUGGGGCAGAGGAUUGGGGAAAUGAUUGCUAAUUGUUGGAAUCUUGUAAUUUUGUGAAAGGAGUUCUUCCCCCUCCGCAACACAACUCAACUUGUACAUGUCUCUGCGUUUAACUAUGUGGCUGCUCAUUUUCCUUUGAAAUUUUCUUAAUUGACAUUGACAUCGACAUUGGAAGCAGUGGGUUUUUUCUAAAUUAAAUUGUAAAAACAUUGAAUGGUCACUUUAUGAGGAAACAAUGGAGCAUGUCUGAAUAUGGUUGGAGUUGUGGUUCAUAUGAAGAAUGUUGGGGCGUUAACCUUAAUUUCCUCUAACUCGAUUAAUGAAAGUUACAACUUCACUGAUGGGAAAAAGUAAAACCCUUUUUGCCUCUCAAAAGGCAAUGCCAACCCUAUAUGUCUGUAUUCUGAAGUCUCUUUUCUAGUGUCACCAUAUCAUUGGAGCCUGAACGUACUUGAUUUUAGAAAAAUCAUUUGUGCUAACUAUUAGUUGACACUGUUUGGUGCUUAGUAUAUCAUUGGUAAUACCUACAUUUUAACAGUUAAACUUGGUGGUCUCUUUUGGGGCAUCUGAUGAAAUUGAAAUGAAACAGUUAAACUUGGUGGCAGAGAUAUCCAUAGUAGGCUACACGGCUUAUAGAUCAAGAAUUAGAAAAGCUACAGACCUAUUUCCCUUUAAUUGGUUGCUUGGCUAUCACUCUAUUUUGUGUACUCAGUUGGUUCAUCUAAAUAAUAGAGAACAUGCUAUACGCUCGCCUCAUAACUUCAGUUUAUUUUCUGUAUUAUUCAUUCAUGACACCGUUUUGAUAUUCUUUUAGGAGCCAAGCAGUGUGGAGAAAAUUAUGGAAAUCGACGAGCAUAUUGGCUGUGCAAUGAGUGGAUUGAUAGCUGAUGCACGAACACUUGUGGAACAUGCACGGGUUGAAACUCAGGUAUUUAGGAUAACAUCUCCAACCUUCAAGUAUUUGUGUGAUAGUGGUAAAUUGCUGAUUUUGUGGUGUUGUUUUGUCCUCUCUUCCCCUUUCAACAGAACCAUAGAUUCUCUUAUGGCGAGCCCAUGACUGUUGAGUCCACUACCCAAGCUCUCUGUGAUUUGGCGUUGCGAUUUGGUGAGGGCGAUGAAGAAUCUAUGGUGAGAUUCGUUUUACUUUAGUAUAGUACUGUUUGUUUCUCUAUGAACAACUAUCUUUCUGUGAAAAAUUAGUGGUGCCUUAUUUUGUAGAAAGCAUCUUUUCCAUUUUCCAAUAUUAUCUUUUGCUGUCCCUUGUUAUUUUGACUAAAAAGUAUUAGUUGGAACUAAACAGAUGACUUUAUAUGAAGUGGAAUUUAGAUUUUAAGCUAGUUAUGUUAAUUUCAUCAAGUGAAUAAGUAAAAUAAAUAUAAACCAGCAACUACUUCAUGUGACAUAAGGUGAAAAUAAAUAUAAUUAGUGAUAGGUCCUUGUUCCCUUCGCUUUAUGUUUCACUAAAGGACUUGUGCAUGUAUCAAGUGCUCUCGAACAUUGCCUAUGCUGACUUUAGAAUGAAAAGGUAACGGGUCACUACAUUUAUCUCCUCCCCCCUCCAAAAAAGAGAUCAGUGAUCAGCAUGAAGAUUUUUAGGCAGUGAUCAUCUCUGUAUGUGUCUGUUUCUCAAUUUGUAGUUGUAUUUCAAAUGCUCUUGCAUAUGCCAGCUGGGUAGUGAUAGAUCUAGAGGCUGGCUGUUGAGUCUGAGAUCCUCUUAGAUGCUAGGACCUAGGAUCAUAGUUUAUCAGCUAUAUAAGUGCAUUUGCUCUUCUCUUUACAUUCUAUAUUCUAUGGAAAAAUGAUGCAUGAUACUCAUGAACUUUGUUUGUAAAGAACUCAUGAAGUUAGAGUGGUGAUUCUAUAUGGUGUAAGCUGGACUGCUGGACAAAAGAUAUGCUUAGCCUGUCUGGUUAUCUUGGACAAAAGGAAAGGGGAGAACGGAAGAUGGCAAAGGGUUAAUUAUGAUUUAACUAGUUAAUUAAGUUGUUUAUGGAAUUACCUGGUUAAUCAUGAUCAUAUUCUGUGGUGUGCAUUUUGCUCUACUGACUGUCUUGUGCUGAUCUAGUUUCUUCAUUUCCUUUUUGUUUUAUUUGAUAACAUAUUCUAAUAAGUUGGAUGUCUGGAGAUUAUCAGUGUUGUUGAUGAAGUUUGUCAGAAGAAAUAGACAUUCUUCCGUAGUUUCUACAGUUGACUUACUCAUCAGCAGGAUUAGAUUUUCCCUUAUUGUAUGUUUUGAGUAUUGUAAGGUCAGAUCUCUUACCUUUAUGUAUUAAUGGUCUAUCUCGUUUGUUUUAUGCAGUCCAGGCCUUUUGGUGUGUCCCUUCUCAUUGCUGGUCAUGAUGAGAAUGGUCCCAGCUUGUAAGUCUUUGCACCUCUUCUACGCUAGUAUUGGAAACUAUGAUAUUUUCUUUUCAAUAUUUUCUUCUCUUGGUAUUGAAUCAAGUCUGAUAGAGCUGCCGGAAUGUUAUCUUUCAGAGAACUUCCUUCUUCUCCCAAAUUUCUUUCGAAUACUACUUUGACUUUGGCUAAGUUGGACUUAUGCAUAUUGGAUCUCGAGAAAACGAUGUACAAUAUUUGACUAGAUAUUCCACUGCAUCUCAGAUGCAUUAAUACUAAAUCUCAUGGGAAAAAACCUUUACACUUUUUUAGACAACUCCUUUCCACUUAUAUGACCAUGUUUUUUAUAAAUCUCAUCAAAUCACUCUAAUCUACACAAAUCAUCUUAAUAUAGCAUGGAACAUCACUUCUAAAAUUUUUAUUCUAUUUUUGUUAGAUAAUGAGCUUUUUUUAAUGUAAAUGAAAAAUUCUAUCUCAAUUAGUUGAAAAAUGCUUUCAUAUACAUUGAAUAUUAAGCACUUAAUAUAUUACUCCCUCUAGUUCAUAUUAAGUGAAUUGUUGGGGUAUGACACACACGUUAAGAAAAAUAUACAAGGAUAUAAAAUCAAAGACUAUUUUCCACUAUUACCCUUUUGAUUAUUCCCAAAUUUUUCUCCUAGAAAAUGUGAAGUAGUUACGAACCUCAUUAAAUGAAGGGUAAAUAUAGAAAAAGUCCUAGCAAUUCUCUUGAACUUUGAAUACACUUCAUUUAAUUUGAACUAUGAAAAAGGUACCAACAAUUCACAACAGUCAUUGGUCGUUGCGUAUUGGCCUGAGCUCAACAAGGAUGAUUGUGUAUUAGCCUACCUGUCAUGGUUGUCACAUUUGGUGUCUUAUGUAUUAGGCACUGGUUCACUUAAACCUACCUCUCCAAAAUUACUAAAAUGUUGCUCUAAUAUUAUCUCCUAAUCCCUUGUUAUAGUCUUUUGAGCCAAGGGUCUAUAAGGAAGAGCCUCUCUACCCUCCCCCCCCCCCCACUAAGGUAGGGGUAAGGUCUACAUACAUACUAUCUUCCUAGACCCUACUUGUGGGAUUACAGUGGGGUAUGUUGCUGCUGUUGUUAUUGUUGUUAAUGAAUAUUAAAUACUGAAGAGGUCAAGAGAUCACAUUCCUGGAAAUGAUUCUACCAACUGGCCAUGAUCGAUUGGGCUUUUGUGUGAUGAGCUGCUAAAAUCAGACUUUUGUCUAUAUUCCUAAGAGAAUACUGGAAACAGAAUUUCAUAAGCAUACUGUUAACAUUACAUAGUUUAUUCAAGUGUUCGGCCUCUCAUUACUUACUAACCUGAUUGUGGGUAUUAAGCAACAUAAUUUGUAGAUACUGAAUGUCGCCCAAUUCUGAUGUGCAGGUACUAUACUGAUCCUUCUGGUACAUUCUGGCAAUGCAAUGCUAAAGCUAUUGGGUCAGGUUCUGAAGGUGCUGAUAGCUCUUUGCAGGAGCAGUAUAACAAGGUAUCUAGGUUUUUUUAUUUUUCUAGUGAAACCGUGACCCGUAGUCCUAAUUACAGUCCAGUCUGCAGCAGGCUGGAGGUAAUGUUGCUAGUGGAAGAUGUAAUAAUAGGUCCUGUUCCUUUUUUUAUUCACCCUCAUUUCAACUGUUUGGAUGCUUGAAUGCUGGUGAACUUCAUGAGUUCCGCAUAAAGUAUCUUGGUGGAAGCCGAGAAGUAGAGGAGGAUUCCCCUCCUUGUAUUUUUGCCCUAAAUAGCUCAGCUCAAACAUGCUGUCCAACCUUAUUAGUCCGAGUAGCUAGUUUGGUUGGUGAUGCGGUCACCCACUUGUACGUUUUCAAAUAAGCAUGCUAGCCUUCACACCUCCGAAAUUAGAUGUUUGUGGAACAAGUAUUCAAGAAAUCUCGUGUUCUAUCUUCGUAACUGUUGUCCAGUCUGCAGCAGCUUGGGGUUGUUUGAUGCUUUCCGUUGCCUAUUCAACCCCUAAGACCAUUCCCCUCUUCUCUUCCUCCAAUAGAGGGAAUUAAAUCAGUCACUUUUCACUCAUAACAUUAAAAUUGUAGGUGACUAUUUUUGUAACCGAAAAGCUGGAGUUUAGUUUUCAUAUGGUUCUUAAAGUUGAUCUAAAGUCGAUUAUCUCCUUUCUGCAGGACCUUACCCUUAAAGAGGCUGAAACCAUAGCACUGUCCAUUCUCAAGCAAGUGAUGGAAGAGAAGGUAAGCAAUAAGCCUCAUGACACUUGUAUUUUCAUGAUUUCGUUCCUUGUUUCUGAGAAAGCUCCCCCUAUUUGAUUCAGGUGACUCCCAAUAAUGUUGAUAUUGCGAGGGUAUCUCCAACUUACCAUCUAUACUCACCAUCGGAGGUGGAAGAGGUUAUCAGCCGCCUAUAAGAAAGCAUGUGAUCACGCUCGUUAUGAUAUUUUUCUUGUAUGACAAAAACACUUUCUUGUUGCUGCAGCCCUGGAGCCUGGAGGUCAUUGGAUUGUUUUUUCCUUCUUCCAAGGCUAGGAAUUGAUUCAGACAAGUGUUUUCUGUAUGUUCAUUACAUUAUUUGCUUCAAGGAUUUAAGUCCAUCUAUAUCUCUUGCUGCUUUAUGAGUUGGGAUUUGUUCUGAAAAUAGGAGUUUUAAAGUGUUUUGAAAGCAAGAGGCAAGUACGAUACUGUGUAGGAUUAUAUAAAUAGGGGUUUACAUUUUCUUGAAUGAAAUAUUUCCAAUGUAUCUUAGUUUAAUUGGAUACGGAAUUUAAAAAGUAAUGAACUUGCGAUUUUUUAAACAUAAUAUGCAACAUUUUGAAAUUAAAGAAUUCUUAGUUAGUUAUAAAUUGAUUCAAUGAUUAAUAAGUAUGCAGUUAUUUUAAUCAAAAAUUUGACAAUAAUUAAUAACAGAGAAAAUAAAAAAUUAGAUUUAAUUUAUCUUUUAAUCUACUUUCUUUGGGGUUUAUUCCUCAUGAACAAAUAGUAGUACAAACGAGAAAAAUUGAACAUAUAAUAUUGUCGCAAAUGAAAGAAAAUCGAAGUAACAUGAGAAAUUUAUUUGAUAGAGUGUAUAAGAAAUAAUAGUAUGUUUUUUUGAAAUACUUUUUCAAACCCAAGAUGCAUGGCUUUGUCCCAUCAAUGUUUGAUGGCUAGAGGACCAAAAAUAAAAAAUAAUUAAUACAUGAAAAUUUAUGAUAUUAGUAAUGCACUCAGUUUUAACACAUGUAUUAAAAUGAUUAAAAAUACAACUGUCCCUCAAAACUGUUUUUACAUCAUUUCCACCAUAUUUGUGGAGUUUUCUUUUAGAAAUUAUGACAUAGAUAUUAUUUUUAAUAUACCAAAUCAAAUAAGAUAUAAAAAAUAAUCUCUAUAUAAUUAAUUGUACGUACAUUAUUAAUACACCUUAUUCAACAUUAUUCUUCGUAAUAUUUAAUACCUCUGCCAACAAAACAAUUUAUGAGUUAUUAACUCAGAAUUCGAUACACAUAAGGGUGAAAAUAAAUUUGGUCAAAUAUGAAUUUAAUAAAAUUGUAUUAACUCAUAUUUACCCCUCUUCAUUUAUUAAAUUGUAUUAACUCAUAUUUACCCCUCUUCAUUGUUAUCUUGAGUUUUCUCUAUAAACACAGAGAAAUUUUUCUCUUAUCGUUCUUGUUGUUUCAUCAAUCUUCAUAACCAAGUCAAUGUUGAAAAUUAUGUCAGAUGAAUAUGCAUAUGAUGGUUGUUGUCUAUAUUAUUGUAUAGUUAGUUUAAGUAUAAUAUUUAUUUUAAUGGUCAUUUAGAUUUUAUUAUAUCGUAUUUAGGUAAAUAUGAUAUGGUGUGAUUAUGUGUUACCUUAUUAUUUUCUUUUUAUUUUGUCUUUAUGUAAUAGUUUAAAAAUUCUAUUUUAUCAUUUACUCUAUCUUUCAUAGUACUUGUACAUCGUUUUCUAAUUUUCCUGUAGGUUUAUCAUUCGAAUUAUGAAAGUGUGAUAUUAGAAACAACGUAAUAUAAUACAACCUAUCCAAAUAUUAUAUUUAUUUAAAAUGUACGAUACAAAUAUAUAAUAUGAUAUGAUCGAUUGUGAAAUAAUAAUGAAAUAACUCAACUUUCUUUGGAUCGAAUGUUAUAUCAAUUGAAAUUAACCAUGUACCUAGUCUGAUUCAUGAUUUGCCGGAUAUUAAGCAUGACCAAUGUAACAUCGAAUUUCAUAACAUGGUAACAGAAUACUAAAAGAAAAGAAAAGAGUCGUAUGAAAUGUACAAAACAUACAAUUUUGAUUUAAAAUUACAAAAAAUGAACUUUCAUGAAAUAAGGAUAAGAGAUAAUGCUUUCCCACGAAUGACAAACACUGUUGAAUUUGGAAAUAACCCUUGUUGAAAUCCGAGAGAAAAUAACAUAUAUCUUUUGAAAUACAUGAUAGUUAAUUAUAAUUUUAUUAUUGAUUUUCUUUUUCUUCAAUGAGGAGUAUAACUUUUCUCGUAAUAAUUUGUAAGUCAUGACAUCUGUAUAUAUAAAUUAAUUUACGUUAUAUAACACCAAAAAUAUUGAUAUCUUACGUAAGCUCUUAUUGAUUUUAGUUUUGAAAACAUUUUCAAUCGACUCAAUUAUUACAUAAACUAUCACAAUUAUUAUUAAAAUAAUAGAAGUAUUCAAAUGAGUAUAUCAAUUAAAGUAUCAUUAUUAGUUAUACUAGACACAUGCGUCUGUGCUAGUAAAGGUUCAAUAUCUAUUUUUUAUCUCAUUUUAUGUGACACGGAUAAAAUUUAGCGAGUUAAUUAAAUUUUAAUAUGUUUUUUAAAUAUUUUAAGUAGUUAAUGAUGUAUUUAUAUAACCUUUACGUACUUUAAACAAUAUAUAUUACUUUUGUUGUCUCAAUAUAUAUAUGUAGCACAAAUAGAAUUUCAAGAGUCAACAUGUUAUUAAUUAUAGUGUGGAACCACACAUGUGAAGCAAACAUGUUGAUCGAUUCCUGCGUGGUUCAGAUGAAAUAACUAAAAUAUGAAUAAGAAAUAUUUACGUAAUUUGAAAUGUCAAAAACCUCAAAUCAAUAAAUAAGAUGAAAUUAAUUAAAGACCUCUACUAAGUAAAACAGAAAUUAUCAAGCUGAAAAUCACGUAAAUCAGUUAGUAGAUAUAUAGGUCUUUAAUUAUCAAAAAUACUAUGAUUUAUGGCGGGGGGGGGGGGGAGCUGAAAUUAAAAUAGAAAAACAAAAUGAAAUGUUGGCAAGGUUUGAACCUUGGUUGAAUUUUUAAUCAAACUAAGUCAUUAUAUAAAACAAUUUACCAAAGUAAUACAUUUUUCUAAAAUUUUACAAAACUAGUAUAAACGUAUUUCAUGGUAACGUUUUAGGGUAUAUUUUAUUUUUUAAAAACUAACAGCAUUAGGUUGAUAUACGUCACUGUAAGUAACGUUUUACUUUUAAAAUGUUAUUUUCAGUAACGUUUUACUCCUAAAACGUUAGGAGUAAAAUGUUACUGUGAGUAACGUAUAUCAAUCUGACGCCAUCAACUUUUAAAAAAUAAAAUCUAUCCUAAAACGUUACUGUAGAAUACGUUUAUACUAGUUUUGUAAAAUUUUAGAAAAACAUAUUAUUUUGAUAUAUAAUGACUUAGUUUGGUCAAAACCUCGAAUUGUCAAGCCUAAACCAAUAGACCAAACAACUGAUUAUGUAAAUAAGCACAUAGUUGAAGCAGACAUUUUGACCCUCAGUUGUGUGCGUAUUGACACUUAUAUAUAAGUAGUAGAUAAACCUCUAGCAAUGACCACCAACUACCACCAGUGGCGGAGCCACCAUAUCUUUAGGGGUUCGAACUUCCUUCGGCGGAAAAUUAUAUUAUUUUCAUAUGGUUAAAAUAAUUUUUUAGAUAUACAUAGUCAAUAUCGAACCCCUUUCGACUAUUUCGAGCAUCUAUUUUUUCAAAUUUUGGACUCUCUUAUCAAAAAUUCUGACUCUGCUUCUAACUACCAGGACAAGAAGCAAGACAAACAACUUAUAAAAACUCGAACUAACUAAUAUGUUCAUAGUCCAAUCAUAAAAUUAAAAAAUGAUUGUAACAAAUAUAAUUCACACAAAUGAAGCAGGAAACGAAUACUAGUAUUUUUCCUUUUAAUAGAUAGGUCGUAUUAAAAGUUAUAUCAUAAAGUGUUACAUUAAUUUCGCAUCUAAUAGCCAUGAAUGUUCCACGGAAUGUUAACAUUACCACGAGCCUAAAGUUGUCAAAUUGUACUAUUAUGCUUCUCUCCCAUAUACCUAUACAUAUAUUAUUUCGACUGUCAGUUCGAUAUUAGAUAAAUAUCUUACUUAAAAAUAGUUAUUUUAUAUUUAAAUUAAAAUAGAAUUAAUGAAAAUUUUUUAAAUUAAUUUAUUAAUAAUUUUUUUAAAAUUAUCAGUAUAAAAUAGAAAAUGUUCAUCUAAUACGAGUCUCUGUGUAAUUCCAUUUAAUUGUAACGAAUGAAUAUCUACUCUUCCCAAAAAGGCAUUUGUUAUAUAUAUAUAUAUAAGUCAAACAAGAUAAUCAAUUAAUCCGCCCUUCUUUUUCUCUCUCAAUCCAUUAAUUCCAAAUUAGAAUUCUCUUUAAAAUGUAUAUGAAUAAUAUCAAGAAAAAGAAUCUUCUUCUAAUUUUCGUCUUCUUUUAUUACCUCUCUUCAACUUGUUCAAAAGAAUUUGAGUAUUCCAACAAUCUUGGAUCAGAAGCUCCAUCAUCUUUACAUGAUCAUGAUCAUAACAUGAUCAAGAAUCAAGGAGGGUUGAUGAAUACAAAUACGAAAGCGAAUACGAAGAAGAUGAAGAUGAAUACAAGAACAUUAAAGUUGAAGAGUAGGGGAAAAAGUUCAUCAGAUAGAAAAAGUACGUAUAGAGCAAUGCUUCCAAAAGGUUUUGUGCCUCCUUCAGGAUCUUCACCAUGUCAUAACACUUACCCUAAUUCUGUUACAUUUUUUUGUCAUUUUUCUAUUAGGCCUAAUAAUAAAUUACCCUACACACCAUAGAUCAACUAAAAAUUGUAUAGAGUAACAUGAUUCCAAUUAAUAUUUCAUAUGAUGAAUUUCUUGAUCAUCAAAUAUAUAAAACGAUAUAUAUUGAGUUUCUUCUUGUUAUCGUCUAUAUUAUUUUGUUAUAAUGACAUACACAAGUUCUCUUCAUAUAAUUUUUAGCUACUAUUUUGUGAUUUUUUGCCAUGGUGUUGAAUCAAUGACUAGUAUAUAUCUUUCUUUUUUUGUAUUAUUAUUGAAGUGAUUCUAUUUUCUUUUCUUUCUAAAUUGAUUGGAUGGUUGUUGCAUUGUAUUGUUUGUUUAAAUAACUAUGACGUGUUAGUUUUGAUUGUUGUUUAAAUUUUAUCGUAGUCUGUCAUUUUAAUCCAUCGUUAGGUAAUAACGAUAAGUCCAUUUUGUGUAGCAAUUAUUUUGGUGUGAUCGCAUUGCAUUACCUUUUUUUUUCAUCUUCUCAAUUUAUCUUCUUAAUCCUAUUUUAUUCUUUAUACCAUAUUUUUAAUAGAUCUAUCUCGUACCUUUUUUUCUUAUAAGAUUAUAUUUUAAAAUGCUCAUAUGUGUGACAUUAUGUGAUGAGGAAAAAUGAUCUAUUCAAAUGUUGUAUUGAUCAACACUUGACGAUACGGUGCAUUAUGAAACGAUAUAUAAAGAAAAACAACGCAAACAAAGAGUAAGUGAAGUCAAUAAUUAAUACUCUUAACAGUAUUGAGUGGUCAAUGAAGUAUAAUGAAUACUGUAAAAUGAAAAAAAAUUAUAAUAACAAGCAGCAAUUUUCUCUGCAAUUCUCAAGUAAAAUUAUAUACUUUUAACUAAGUUUUUUGAAGAGUUUUACUGAAUUUAAUUGAGAAAUGUUGUAUUCAUCAGAAUACUACAUUAAAAAUAAUAUUAAGAGUAACUUAGUAACUUAGACUAGAUACAUGCCUUGAUUAUGGAUAAAUAUAUACAAAUAUUUUUACGAUGGAGUAAUAUUUUAUUACUUACGUAUCAACCCGAAAAAUAAAUAAAAAUAAAAAUCAAACCAUUUAUUUUUUUAGAAAAUAUUUUCAAUACACCUAAGUUUUUGAAUAUUUUAUCAUUUUGAACAAUCGAUCACCAACAAAAGUUCAAACUUAUUCUAUUGUUGCACGUGAGAAAGAUAUGAUUUUAAGAAAGAUGUCUGCUGUGUAUUUUGACUUGUAAGUAUGUUUCGUGUAGCUGUUAAUUUCUUGUUUGACUAUAUAGAGUUGAAUAGAGUAGUACUAUAAAAUUAAGUCAAUUGUCUAAAUUUUCGGUACUUGAAGUCUACAUUAGAGUUUCGACGAAAUCUGAAUCGCACAAUGCAACUCUUGACGCUCCAUAGAGAAAUUGAACAAGUGGUGAUGAAAAUGUAAGAGAAGGAAAUGAAUAUAUAUAUAUAUAUAUAUAACAAAAUUUUCUCUAUAUAUACUCAGGGUUCGAUGAAACAGUCUCACCACUACACCAUAGAGAAACUGAACAAGUUAUGAUGAAAAUAUAAGAGAAGGAAAUGAGCGUGUAUAUAUAUAUAUAUAUAAUAAAAUUUUCUCUAUACUCAGAAUUGAACUCGAUGAAACAAGUGUAUCAGAAAUGUCAAUUGUCCAUAUGAUAGGGCAUGAAAUGGGAAGAAAAAGCAUAUGGAAAUUCCACCAUUUGAGGGAAGUUGCUUGCCUCAUGGGGUUAAAAACAAAGUUUCUUACUUUCCGUUUACUCCAUGCACAUUCAUCAUGCGUCCUAAUUAACUCCAAAACUCCUAACUCUUCUCUCGAUAGGUUACACAAUUCUAUACAUAUAAUUACUACUUAUAAAUACUACUAGUACCAAAAUUCUACUAUAUCAAAUCUAGUAGUUUAAUGCAUUUAUAUCACGCACCUUCUAUAAUUGUAGUUUCACCUAAUAUGUUCGUAGAUGUUGAAAUUUUAUGGGACUAUACAAGACGUGUUCAAUUCGAAUUGAGACUCUAGAAAGUGUAGAAUUCUUGGAGGCUAUUCAACCUUAAACCCUAAUUCAUGCCUAUAUAAAGGGUACUAUACAUACGAAGGCGUUGGUCCAUCGGUGCCUUAGGGGAAAUCAUCUGCUUGCUCGGUCACUUUCGUGAUAAAAUUUUGCAUCUCGAAAUUUUUUAUAAAGAGAUCAAAAUGUUAAAUAUCUCAAAAUAUCCCAUAAUAUUAUGUUUAAAGAUCAAGAUCUCGAAUAUUUCAAAAAUCGAUGGAAUAUCAAUGUAGAUCAAAUCUAAAUCAUUACAGAUGAAUCUGAUGGGAAGAGAACAAAAUUGUACCCGCAAUAUUGAUGAAUUAAAUUACAUGUUUCUUCUUAUUUUAUUGUGAUUGUAAUUUAUUUUUUGUCGCUUUAAAAUUUAGUAUAAACAACGCCACAUACAAGAUUAAUAAGUACUCACACGGUUAAGAGUAUAUGUAGUGGUGAAGGUAGUUGCUAAGAAUACUAUUAAGUGGUAAUUCAGUGUUAUACGUUUAACAUAAUUUUUCGAUGAAGGGGUUCAGCUAUAUCUUUUCUUUUCCGAUCCGUUGAUAAUUGUGGUCCUUCUUUUGGUAUGUGUUUUUAGUAUAACAUCGCGAGUAAUAACUUAGGUAGGAAAAGGAGAUAUCAAAUAAUGCAUUGUUGAGUUAUGAAAUUUAUAAAAUAAUAGUUAAGAUGUGUUUUUAAUCGUUAAUGAUUCGAUUGAAGUUCUCUAGUAACGUGAUAUUUUUAAAAAGGCAUAUAUUUUUUUUUCCUUUUUAAUGAAUAAACAGUACUUCUGAAUUUUGAUUGUUGAUUACUUCCUAUUCUUCCCACUAAAUUUUCUCUUUUUUCAAAUUAUAGAAUUGAAAUAGCUGCAUGGCAAUUUCUUUUUGUGUAUAAUCGCCCACAAUUAAAGUUACGUAGAAUUAGAUAUUGUAUUUAAUCAGAUUAUGUAAAUCGUUUUUUGUUGAAUCUAUUAAUGUAUAUUAUUUCGAGUCGAAAAAAUAACAAAGAAAAAAUCUGAUGGAAUGGAAUUGUUAUUUCACCCAAAUAAGAAAAUAACAAGUAAUACAUAAUAUUCUUUUAAAAAAGGAAAAAAACUUAUUUUCGAAGAUAUAAAAUGUGCCACAAAGGUAGGUGAAGGAGUAUAUUUAGCAAAAUAGGCUGAUGAAAGUAUUUUAACCAUGUUUGGACUUAAUUAAAGCGUACAUUGGAUGGGGCUUUGGCCCAACUGAUCUCCGCACACGCGCACGCAUAUAUAUAUAUAUAUAUAUAUGUAUAUAUAUAUAUAUAUAUUUUCACAUAUAGCCACUAAAAAAAAUAGCCUAAUUAUUUUCUAUAGCUAUAGUUUAUUAAUUAUAAUUCGUAGCUACAUGUUAUGCGGAGGAGAGAGGUGAAUUGUAUAUGUAUAUUACUUAGAUAAUUGUAUAUUAUAUAGUAUUUGUAUAUAAGACAAGCGAGAUUGGGAGAGGGAGGAAAGAGGAGAGCGAGUUUUGGAGAGGAAGGAGAGAGACAAGCGAGAUUUGGAGAGAGAGAAGAGAGGCGAGCGAGAUUGGGAGAGAGAGAAGAGAGGCGAGAGAGAUUGGGAGAGGGAGGAUAGAGGCGAGCGAGAUUGGGAUAGGGAGGAGAGAGGCGAGAGAGAGGGAAGAGAGUGGGAGAGAGGUGAAUUGUAUAGGUAUAUUAGUUAGAUAAUUGUAUAUUAUACAUAUGCAUUUGUAUAAAAAGCAAGUAGAUAGGGAAAGAGAGGAGAGAGGCGAGCGAGAUUUAGAGAGGGAGGAGAGAGGAGAGCGAGAGAGGUUAGAGAGUGAGGAGAGAGGCGAGCGAGAGAGGUUAGAGAGUGAGAGAGAGGUGAAUUAUAUAUGUAUAUCGAUUAAAUUAUGUAUAUUAUACAUAUGUAUUUGUAUAUUCUAGCGAAUUAUACAAAUACAAAUGUGGCUAAUUAUACAAACUCGAAGUUAGCCCACUAAAUUAAUGUAUAAUGUUAGUAGUAAAUGAUAAUUAUAGCAAACAAUAGCUAUAAUAAGUAAUUGAGUAGUAUAAAUUUGCUUAAAUGGUAAAAUAACAAAACUAAUCUUCUUAAUAGUAAGAACAUGUUUUAUUUUGUCUAAACAUUAAUAAAAAGAUUUAAAUCAUACAUUAUAAAUUUAUAAUACUAAUUUGACAUACUGGUUUGUAUAUAACUAUUUUUUACAUUAAUCUAUAUAUAUAACUUACUUCCAACCCAAAUACCACCUAAAUCAUACUUGAAUUUAUUUAUUAUUUUGCAUUGUAUCAAAAAUAUUAUUACAUAUAUAAUCGAUACAAGGAUUAGGUUAUUGAAAAACAAAAUGUUGCGAGAAUAAGUAACUUUUUUAUACAAAAGUAAUUUCCUUAUUGUUAAUUUAAUGAAAAUUUGAAAAAUAACAAAUAUAAUACAUAAUAAAGCUCUAUAAUUAUCAAUAUGGGUAUGCUUCACCCUUAAUAAGAGGUAUCGGGUUCAAGUCCUGAUAUAAUUUCGUCAAUUGCGCUUUGUAGCUAUCGUUCUGUUUGAUAUAAAGGUCGCAGUGGUAUAUUUCCGUCUAUAUUUCACUUGCGAAGAUACAAAUAUAAUAACUAAUACAAAUUCUGUGUUUAUGCACUUAGGAAUUAUUUAGAAUUCGUUUAUAUAUUUUGCUUGGCUGCAAUCGUAUAUUUCUGAUUGUUUGUUGGCUACAGGUUGUAUAUUUUUGUAUAUUUCACUUGUGAACAUACAAAUAUAAUAAAUGUAUAUAAAUUUUAUAUUUAUGCAUUAAGAAUUAUGCAGAGCUCGUUUAUAUGUUUCGCUUGCUAAUAUACAAAUGUUGUAACUUAUUAGAAAUUUUUUAUAAGUCAUAUAUAAAUAGCUAGAGUAAGCAUAAACAAACCUUUUAAUUAUAUAAUCAAAAAUCGAAUUAUCCAAAUUUUAGACUUAUAAAAAUUAAGCGAAUUAUACAAAUCAGAUUAAUAACAAGAUUGAACGAAACUAUACCUACAAAUUAGAAUUUUCCUAAAUAGUAACUAUAACAUUAGUAAUAUGAUUUAAAUGUUUGUUAUUUCACCCAAUCUUUUAAAUUUAAUAUAUCAUUUAAUAAAUAUGAGUAUAUAUAAUUAUUGUAUGUAUUUAUUGAUUUGACAUAUAUAUUGUAGAAAAUAAAAUUUAACCAUGGUUUAAUUGGACUAAUUUGGUCGUUCCUUCAAAUGCCAUAUCUCAUCACUCUUCCAUCGAUGGUCACCUCCGGAUUCCGGCGACACCCAGUUUAAUAUUCAUCUGGUUCUGUACAAUAAUACACUCCUAUAUACGUGCACGCGCCGCUGUACUAUAGUAGGCAAUACACACGCGUUUACGGCUGCUGUAAGGCAGAGCCAAAUUGAGAAUCUGAAGUUGUUGCUCUUUUGUUUUGUAUCGAGAAUCAGACGAUGUCGAAAUCAUUGCCCUAUUCAAUGAAAGAUGUGCACUACGAUAACGCCAAGUUCAGACAGCGAUCCGUAUCUCAGGUCAGCUAGCUCAAUCAGAAUUCGUUCCUUUGAAUCUUGUUUUUAAUUUUUUUUGAAUUUCGAUCUCUGAACAGAGUAAGGAUUAGUUUAGAAGUGCGCUGAUUUGUUUUCUUCAUAGAACAGCUUGGAAAUAACCUGAUUUGUCUAUUUGCGUAGUUUGAGAGGAGGAAAAGGAGGCUUUUUGGUUAUGAAAUGUCGUUUUGCUAACUGAAAGAUAUGAUCAGAUAACUUUUUUUUUUUUUGUAUUUUUUCUCUGAUGUGAACUGAAGUAUGCCCUGGUGAAAGUGUGGCUAAAAUGGGAAAUAAUGUUCACAAGCCACUCAAUUUGAGAAAGUAAGAGCCAGUUCGGAAUACGAGAAAUAAAAAAAUAUAUGCAAGUCAAACAUGGUUGUUCUUAAACUUGAUUUGGUAUAUAGCUAGCAUUGAGAGCUCCGUGACUGGUCAACCAAUGAUUGAUAGGCCAUUGAUUUGAAUAUUAGAUUGUCUAAUUUUUGAAGGAGUCUCAAGUAAGCUGUUGAGCUAAGUAGUAUACUAUAUUUUUAUAUUAAUGUACCACUUUCCUUUUUGAGCUGAGUUCUCUUUUAAAGCCUUUUAACCAUCGGCACUCUCAUUCUGAAAGUUUUCGUUAUGCCCCUCUUUUUGUGGUUUUGGCGGUGGGGUUCGGGGGGAGGAUUUUAAUAUUUGGACUUGGUAUGCAGUUUGUUACAUGAAAGGGUGCUGCAACAGUGUUGUACUUACACGAAACCACCUUUUUCGAUAUAAUUAACAAGUUUUAUGUUGUGCAUCUUAGUAUCCGGACACCUUUAAAAGCGUUAUUAUCGUCUCAGCCUGUAAAGGCUACAUAAGAAAAAGAGAUAGCCAACUUUGGUUGAAGGUGGUGAUAACUAAAUUUUAGUUUCUAUUUCAAUUAUAAGAUUUGGACCCCAUUGCCAUGGGAUAAAUAUAAGAUAUUACUGCUAACAUAUUUGAGAGAACUAAAUUAAAAACCAAUUAGAGUAGCUAUGGAUAAGACCAUUGUUGUCUCUUACUAAACAUUCCUUUCUUCUCAACCCCAAAGGUUAAUCGGCGAAUCUCUACCCUAAGGAGACAUGAUUCCUUUUGGUUAUUGGUGGAAAGCUGGAGUUUGGCUAAUGAUUAGUGUAUCAUUUAAUUCUUGUGCUUAUUGAUGGUGAACUCGAUCAAUUUUAAGACCUUGAUCAGACCUGGACGAAUUUGUGAUUUGAUUGUAAAACUCUGAUAUUCAGGAAACAUAUGCACAAUACUAAAAAGAAUUAUAAAAGUCCAAAAAAAUUACAUCAAGAGAAGGUACUUCUGUUGGACUCUUGGUAAAGGAUAUGUGAAACCAUUAUUCAAAAGAAGCUUUACCUUUUCAUAAAAAAACAAUUGUACAAAAGAGGGAAUGUGAUAUCAAUAUGCAGAAUUUUCCUGGGAAGGGAUCUUAAUGUUCUAUUCAGCUAUCAGUCUUUUUCUAAAUACUUCUCCGUGCGUCUUCUCUAUUUUAAUAUGUAUUCUCCAUAUUCUUUAGAUGUUUAUUGGAUGAAUGUACAAAAGAGGGAAUGUGAUAUCAAUAUGCAGAAUUUUCCUGGGAAGGGAUCUUAAUGUUCUAUUCAGCUAUCAGUCUUUUUCUAAAUACUUCUCCGUGCGUCUUCUCUAUUUUAAUAUGUAUUCUCCAUAUUCUUUAGAUGUUUAUUGGAUGAAUUUGUUACACUCACUACCCUUGGCAGUGUUCAUGUAAUAGCCUAGUUCACUGAUAGGUUUGGUUAUAUAUUCAUUAAUCAUCUACUUUGCUCCUUAUAAUAACCUUGAGUAACGGAAUUGAGUUUUAAAGAGUUGUCCAGUUUAAUUUCCUUCAGAGCUUAGUUGAUAAUCUAAGACAUGAUCAAAAGAAAGGAGGAAGUUGGAAAUCUCGACUGGAAAGAGUGGUAAUUGCUCACAGCUUUGCGUAGCGAUUUGCUUACAACAGCAUUAACCCCUUUAAUAUGGUCUGAUUUGACUGUUCUAAAGAGUGUGAAAAAGUAUUUCAUUCACAUAUUGAGUUGUUCCUUUCUAAUUAAGUCUGUUGCCAUAUAUCUGAAGUUCAUGAUUCAUGCCACGUAAUAAGCGUCACUAAUAAAGACGAAAUAGGAAAAAUAUAAAAAAUAAUAAUAAAAUAACAUAAAAUUGUGAUAUAAAAAGUGUCAUUUUGCCAUUCAUAUUUGAAUCUCAAAUAAAUUGGAGUUCUGAAGAUUAACUUAAGGAAUCAAUAUGAUGGCAGACAGUUAAAUAUUCUUGAAUAUUUCAAAUGGAAAUUGCACCUCAUAAGUUAGAAAGAGAGCAGUUUUCCAUUUUCUCUCAUAUUAUUGUCAAUUCUGGCAUAUCUUAUAUCAUGAAUUCGAGUAGCUUGGAUUUUUUCAUAGAAAUACGGAGUGCUUUGAUGUAGUCUAAAUAGUAUAUUUGGUGCCUUACAAAAGUUUUCUUUUCUUCUUGGUAUGGGUAGUGUUGAGAAUAUCAUUAACUAAUAAAAGUGUGUUCUCUCUAAUUUUAGAGAGAACACACUUUUAUUAGUUCAUGAUACUCUCAACACACUCCUCACAUGCGGACCUAAUUUUUUUUCCAUGGGUCAAACGUGUGAAAAUUCUUUUUUAAUUUGGGUGUGGAAGAAUCCUUAUAAAGAUUUGGUAAUUCUCCUCCCUUUGAGCUAGCUUUUGGGGUGUGAACUAAGCCUAAUUUAACAUGGUAUGAGGGCCCCCAAAAUCAAAAUUGUUAAUGCACCAAAUGCGAAGCACUGGGCAUGAAGUUGGGUGUUAAAGAAUGACAAAAGUUCCACAUUGGUGGUUAACAAGAUGGGUGGACUCCUAAUAAGGCUUGGGCAAUCCUCUUCCAUUUGAGUUAGCUUUUGAGGUGUGAGUUAGGACCAAGGCCUAACUUAACGGGCAGCAACCUUUAUAUAGUGUACUUAUGGUGCAUCGUUCCAGAGACUACUGAAGUCAUACAUCUCGUAAGGAGAUUGACGGAGCAGUAUAGGGAGUGGAAGAGGGAACAUAUGAUGUUUGUUGACCUAGAAAAAGCUUUCGACAAAGUGGGUAUUUGGAUUGACUUAUUUUAAGUAGCUUUCGACUUUUAAACUCUUUUUGUUUGUUUUGGAAGUGUUCGAAAAACACAAAAAGUGCUUUUAAGCAUUUUUUUUUGGCUGAAAAAGAACAAAAAGAAGAGUCAAAAGCCAAAAAAUGGGUGUUCCCAACUUAUUGCUUUUAGCUUUUAACUUAUAUGCCACUUUAAAAAAGUCAAUUCGAACAUCCCCCAAGUCCCUUGGAGGGUUCUAUGGAGUCGUUUGAAAGCUAGACGUGUACUUGCAGCUUACAUUAGGGCGAUUAAGGACAGAUUCAAUGGAUCCAAGACCCGAGUGAGGACAGUGGGCUGAGACUCGGAGCACGUCAGUAUUUGCCCACAAUGUAGUGACCCUGACUUGUGACAUUAAUGACUUCAGGAACCAAAUUAUGUUGAAUUUGCUAUUUUACCUUUACUUAAAUAAUUUGUUUUUGUAGCACCUAAAUGGCCAUAUAUGGUGGGUUUUGCCUAUAGCUUGCAUAUUAGAAGUGUGCUUUAUCUCUGACUAUCUUCCCUAGCACCAGUAAUGCACAUAUAAAUUCUUGCUUUUAAAAUUGAGAUAGCUUCCAGAUCAUUUUCAUUCCUUGAAAGGUCUUAGUAUUUCUGCAGCAGAAUUUUGUAGUUUCUCUUGUAUGCUGAAAUUUUAUAGUUCUGCUUAUCUUUUCAGGUAAUUUCUCAGGUUCUAUUAACCAGUAAUGGGAAACGAGAUUAUUUGAAAUGUAGCACUGGGAAACUUCUCGUGUUACUGAUGCUUGGUGGUUUAGCAUAUCUAGUACUGACUAAUAAAAGUGCUGUCCAUCCCGUGUCUGAUGGUAUAGCAAAAAAUGAUGGAUCAAAGGAAGGAGAAAAUCUCAUGACUCAUGGAAGUGGUAAAUUCAGGAGAUUUUGGAGGAAACCACCUAGACUUCCACCCCGGUUAUCUCCUGAUGAAAUAAUUAGUAGGAAUAGAUCCAUUCAAGAGUCCAUGAAAAGAGAGGAGCCAGAAUGGGUGGCAAGACAACAGAAGGUGAAAGAUGCAUUUAUCCAUGCCUGGUCUGGAUACAAAGCCCAUGCCAUGGGUUAUGAUGAACUUAUGCCCUUAAGCCAUAGAGGGGUUAAUGGUUUAGGAGGUUUGGGAGCUACAAUUAUUGACGCUUUAGACACGGCUAUGAUUAUGGGAGCUGAUGAAGUCGUUCAUGAAGCAGGCUCGUGGAUUGAGAAACAUCUUCCUGAGAGGAUUGAAAAGAAAGGCCAAGUAAAUCUCUUUGAAACUACAAUACGACUUCUAGGUGGUCUUUUGAGUGCUUAUCACUUAAGUGGUGGAAGUCAAGGGAGAAUUCCAGAACAGAAAGGGCCUAAUCCAUCUAUUUACCUGGAAAAUGCUAAGAACUUGGCUGAUCGCCUACUUACUGCUUUUACAGCAAGUCCAUCCGAUAUUCCAUACAGUGAUGUAGUCCUGCGUGAAAAGUCUGCACAUCCUGCUCCUGAUGGUCUGAGUAGCACUGCGGAAGUUGCAACUAUACAGCUUGAAUUUAAUUAUCUUAGUUAUUUAACAGGUGAUCCAAAGUAUAGCACAGAAGCCAUGAAGGUUCUACAACAUAUAAAGACUUUGCCAAAGGUGGAGGGACUGGUCCCUAUAUACAUUAGGUAAGUAACUAAGAUCGUAUUUUCCUAUGCCAGCUUGUAUAGGCAGAUGCUUGCCCUCGGAAUAUCUGAAAAGUAAUUAUAUCAUGUUCUGCAAUAAUUCCAGUAUCUUGAAAUGCGUCUUGUUGACCGGUAAUUCAAUGCAACUUCUAAUAAUGUAGGGCAUUCAAUGCAACGGUAACAUAACCAUAUGAUUUUAAAAAAGGCUUCUUUAUGUUCUGCCUGUUUCUUUGUUUUAUUGUUAAAGUAAAUAUAGCUUUCCUGACAAGAUUAACUGUUUAAGAACAUCUUAUGAUGAAGAUGGUCUACAGUUCACUCGAUAUCUGUAGAGCCAAUUAACUUCUACUAUUCAACAUGCAAGAAAACCAGAACAGUAUUUUCUACAUCUAGUUGUAUAUGUAUUGCUGGUUACUCUUCUGUCUCCUGAUUCUAAAUUCCUACUUACAGUUGCACUAAACUAAUUUUUCCAUUGCCAAUUCCUUCUUCACUGUAUCAUGUUAGAAAAAUGCUUUUGUGCUCACUUCCAGAAAUCCUGCAUAUAAUUUGCAAGACAUGUUUCAAAAUUUGAAACACAAAUCUUUCUUGCCAAGGAUCCUUAAAUGUCUUCACUAUUUGUUCAUGAUUUCCAAGUUAUCUAAUCGUAAACGAAGUCUAAACCUAAAUUUCACUUUCCUCUCCACAACCAGAACAUAUGGGCAUCCUUAUCAGUACAUUUAAUUCUUGUUGUAGAACCAUGCUAGAUGUGUACAUUAGGAUAGAAUUAACCGGUACUUGUACAGGUGUAAGGUAGUAGGUACCUAGGUGGAUUCAUUGAGUUGCAUGUAAGCUGGCUCAGACACCAUUACUACCAAAGAAAGAAAGGGCAUGUCUGCUAUAAGCGAGUACCUUUAUUAGUACACACACACACACACACACACAACACACAUAUAUAUUCAUGCUUCCUUAACAUAUUAAGACUAGCAUCUAGUUGUGGUUAGGAUCUCUGAAUGGGUCGAGGUGAAAAUAUCUUGUUCACUUGCUUCAGCAUAUGCUUUCACCGCCACAUCUUUCUUUCCAUGCUCAGCCACUUCAAGUGAUACUUCACCAUUUCUUGUGCCAUGUAAGUAUCUCAGCAAAAGCUGGAAUUUAACCCUGCAGAUUACAUGUUUAAGAAUGGGUGGUUUUUAUAUUUAUUUAUUCUUACUUGUCUACUGUUGGAUUAAGAAAAUAAAGAACUGUUAUACCAGUUGACUCAUCAUUUGAGCUUAUGAUGAUGUCAGCCCUCAAUCCGGACAGUUUAGUGGAGACAAUAUUAGACUUGGAUCUCGUGGUGAUAGCUAUUAUGAGUAUCUUAUCAAAGUGUGGCUUCAGCAGAAAGGAACUAACUUUUCAUACUUGUACGAUAUGUAUGUCGAAGCAAUUAAAGGUGUCAGGCACCUUCUUGUUCGCAAAUCUGUUCCAAAUGGCUUGGUCUUUGUGGGAGAAUUGCCAUAUGGGCAAGAAGGUGGUUUCAGUCCAAAGAUGGAUCACCUGGUAUGCCAUUUCUCUUAUUAUUCUUUUUCAAAUAUACUUCAGCAUUGUAAAGUGAAAAGGUCAAAAUGGGACUAACAGGGAAUCAGCUGCACGAUGCCACAGUUAGCCGCAGAAUUCUAUUUUUUCCUUUUGAAAAAUAAUUAAUCUUCUUAAGCAACAUGGAAAUCCUUUCCUUGAUAUGUUAAGCCAAUUCUCUAUUAUAAAUUUCUUAUGCUGAUAGAACGUUUUUUUCUUUUCUUUUUCUCCAAAUUCUUCAUUCAUUUUGCUCGCUCAAAGAGUUCACUAACAUACUAAAAUCACUGGCCGUAACUUUGAUUUUCUUCUUCUGAGUGCAUUGAUUUAUGAUGGAUUACAAGUUGCAGAUAUCAUAUAGCUUUACCUCACUAGCUAGGGUAUACAUUUCAGUAAUGUGCUUUUUAUUGAAGUAUAUAAUCUCGAAUCUUAAUUAAAGAAAUUAAUCUUCUCCUGCCUCUUUCUUUUCUAUUCACAAUGAGACUUGUUUUCCUAAAUGUAUGAAAGCCGUAUCUUAAAUGUUGAUGUCUGUUCUUAUAAGUUUGAUAUCAUUUGACAUCAUCCGCAGGUGUGUUUCCUUCCUGGUACCCUAGCCCUUGGUGCUACAAAGGGGUUGACAAAGGAAAGAGCUAUGAGAGAGAACUUGCUCACUUUUGAAGAUAUGGAAAACCUAAAGCUUGCUGAAGAUCUGGCUAAGACUUGCGUGGAAAUAUACUCAGUAACCUCUACUGGCCUUGCUCCAGAAAUAGCUUAUUUCAAUAUUGAGGUGAGUUGAAACAUUUUUAUUUCCUUCAUCACUUUUGGCAACUAUCAUAUUAUGUAAGGUGGUGUUUUCAGUUUUCCUUUAUCGGUCUUUUUUCUUUUCUUUUUUGAGGAAGGUGAGUUUUUGAAAGUUAAAAGAAUUCUGUUGCAUAUCUUAAACUUCUGAUCUGUGUUUUAACUCUUUUAUGUCUAGAUGUAACACGGAUUAAUCAGUUGUAAAAGAUGUAAGAAUUAGGGCCCUUGUGCAUUGGCUUAAUAAAAGUAGCUUCUAAGAGGGUGUUUGGAUUGACUUAAAAGUUGGCCAAACCUACUUUUAUGUCGGUUUUUUACUUUUGGAAGUAUUUGACAAAUAUAAAAAAUAAUUUAAGAUAAGUCAAAAUUGAGUUAAAUAAGUUGGGAAGGGUUUGACAGACUUAAAAUAAGUUAAAAACCAAAAGUACGUUUUACCCUACUUUUUAUUUUUUGACUUAAAAGUCAUUCAGGUUGACUUUUUAUUUUUGACGUAUCAGCUACUUUUAUUAAGCCAAUCCAAAGGGGCUCUAAGUCAAAAAUAAAAAGUCAAACUGAAAUGAAUCAAACCAAUCUGGAAAACAAUCAGAGUGAAAAUGUGCCUAUCUUGACUUGAACAAUCUAAUAUCAUCAUUAGUGAGAUGCAAUAUAAAUUAAUGAUAGUGUUCAUAUGUCUACCCUGACUUGAAGUACUAUUAUGACAUAAUUGGAAAAAUUCUUGCAUCAUAAAUGUUUUUCUGGUAUCUUGUUUUCUUCGAGCAGGGAAAUUCUGAAGGUGGUCCUGGUGGUGGGAACAAAAGUUCGAAAUAUUUGAAUGACAUAAUCAUAAAGCCUGCUGAUCGUCACAAUCUUUUGCGCCCUGAAACUGUUGAAUCAUUGUUUUAUCUGUAUCGCAUUACUGGCGAUUCAAAGUAUGUUCUUAUUUUAAAGUUGUGUACUUUUGCUUUAUGGGCUUGAACAACUAAGUUUGUUAACUUUGUGGACUCUUCUUCAGGUAUCGUGAAUGGGGCUGGCAAAUUUUUGAGGCAUUUGAGAAGUACACUAAGAUUGAUUCUGGAGGUUACACUUCUCUUGACGAUGUUACUGUUAUUCCUCCACAAAGAAGAGACAAGAUGGAGACUUUUUUCUUGGGUGAAACACUCAAAUACAUCUAUUUGCUGUUCGGUAAUAGCACCACGAUCCCUUUGGAUGAGUAUGUAUUCAACACAGAAGCUCAUCCUAUUCCAAUAAUUUCUAGAAGUGUAUGAUUGAUACUUUGCUUGCAAGAAGAAAUAUUUUUUCCAGUAUUAGCGGAGAUUCAGAUGACCCAAGAGAACAUGUUUCAGCAAUCUCAGAUGGCAUUUUAAUUCGUUUAAGUCGGUUCAUUAGGUUGGAAGUGACCUCAUGGAAGCUUAUUCACAAAUGUUCCAUUUAGAUGAAGCUCCCUGAAAUUUCCAUCUGAAACUUCUACUCGAGUGAUACUUGAGGCGGGGAAUUUUCGAUGAACAUCUUGUUUGUGUAGUGCAUACAGAGAUAAUUACAAUUUUUAUUCAAGUGUUAAAGGCUUAAAGCUCUAUGUUGUUAUUCAGGGAAAGAACAGGAUAGUGUAAUCCUUCUGUAGUAAGUUGGAACUUAUUCUUGUAAUUGAUGUAUUACAUCUACAGCUUUGAUUUCUCCCUUUGGAGAUACAAAGAUUGAAUCAUUUAGCCUAACAUUUACACAAUGAGAUCAAUAUACAAUUGCUUUGAACCUCUUCUCUACACUUUUGAUUCGCGAUCAAUGAUGAUUAUAUUCUAUGCUCAAGCAUUUGUGUUAAAGGAAAAACAAAUGGUCGCCAUCUCUGACAACAUCAAUGUCAUCUAUUUCAGCAUCCUCUGCAUUUACAGCUCUCUGGAAAUCACAACCUCCAAAUCUUUGACCUGCAGUUGGAGGAAGCUCCAGAGUGAGAAAGAAUGAUCGGCGUUCUUUCAACUUUCACAAAAUGAAAGGUAAUUACCUGCUACUCUGAAGAGCUCUUGUAGUGAAUCAGGUAGAAUGAUUAGUUUCCCAAACUGGUGAUGCAAUGGUUCUUUCUUCAUGUGAAUGGUGAUUCUCUUCUUAUGGUGGGUAGAUUUUGUCCCUUGAGAGCCACUUGAACUGGUACUACAUGUGGGUCUUUUAAGGCAAGAGUUGGAACAAAAGGGGACCUCAGGCUUCAGUUGACAGCUCUUUGUUCCCUCAUCUGGUCCAAUGAGCUCUACAUUAUGCUCACUUAACUCACUCUUAUUUUCAAGAUUUAUUGACAAAUCAUUCAUGGUUUUGUUUACUUCUUGUCCAUCAUCUUUCUCUUGCUUCUUAACUCUAGCUUCCAAAUUAUUGAUAUCUAUGCUAGUAAGUGUGAUAUCAUCAUGCCUUUUGAUUUCUGGUCCUGCGUUUGAUUGGUGGUCCACAUAACCAAAACCUCCAAAUCCCUGAAGUUUCUGAUUAACAAAAAGAACCGAUUUGUCAAUUUCGUUUUUUUUUUCCUAAGCAAUAACAACAGUGGAUGAUUUACCAGUACAUAAUCUGGUUUACUUACCAUCAAUAGAUUGUUCAUAAUUAUCCGUUCAUCUUCUGGAUUUGCUCGAAGAAUGUUCAUCAAUGAUGUCCUGUUUAGCCUUAGAAUCUGAGAAAUCUCGGUGGUUCGAACAGCAAAUGGCUGUGGUCUCCCACAUAAAACACCUAUUUCUCCAAAUAUUUCUCCUGCAACAGCUUUUCCAAUUGUCUGUUUGGGAACAUGAUUGAGAAGAGAGAUUUAGUUAUAUAUCCUAAAGUUGACACUUAAUAAUAAUAGUUACUAUGUAGUAAUAUACAUACUUGCUCUAGCCCUUCAAUCUGUGCUAUAAAUUCCUGCAACAAUAACAUAUAACAUACUGAUUAACAACAUGACAAACACAGCUUUAAUAGUAUGCACAAAAUCUAUAAACUAAACUUACCACUGCUCCUGAAACUAUUAUAUACAGAUCAGUUGGUGCCUCAUUCUGCAAAAUUACGUCUUGCUUCGGAGGGAAGUAUUCAGCUUCCAUUUCAGGAACCUUAGAAAUCAAAGUAUCACACUGUUAAAACCAAUGCAAGAGUGAUCGAGAGAACAAAAGAGACGGCAAGGGAAGGGGAGAAAAUUACCAGUUGGAAAAGGAGGUUCCGUGAAACACCUUGGAACAAAUGAACAUUUUGAACUAUAGGAAAAAACAGAUGGUGUGCAAUGCUUGUUCUAAUGGCUUUAGGCAGGCCAUUAAGAGUCUCUUCUUGUUUCAAUGUUUCUGUUUUGAACUUGAGACACAUGUGAGACAAAACCUGAUCUUGCACUCUUGGAGGCAACUGAUUCCUUUUCGCGAAUUCUUGAGCUGCUUUCACCGUCUCCCUCUACAAAAGAAACAAGACUUCACAGGUUUAAGAUGAAGAACACGCGAUAUACGGAGACAGAGAAGGAGGAAGAAGAAGAAGAAGCAUACGAAGUUUCUGGUGCGACUAGUCCAAUGAACAACAAGGUUAGUCAUGUUUCCAAUUAAGUACGAUGUCAAUCCCAAGUUGAAUAACAUGUAAAAGAUGUCAAACAGCAUCUCUCUUGAGUUCUCAGCAUGCAAGUCUCCAUAACCGGUUGUGGUCAGCGUUACAAUAGACCAGUACAAUGAAGUUAUGUAUCUAUCCCCAACACUUAGUUGCUUGAAAUCUGGAUAUACAGCACCAAUCCAUGUCUUUUUCGGAUCAGGAUAUCUAUCAGCAAUCAUAUAGUUAAUGCAUCCAGCACAGUGAACUGCAAACAAUGUCACCUGAACUCCAAACAAACCACAUGUUGCUUGUCAAAAACAUAUUUUUUAAAAUCAUCUUUUUUUAAAGCAUGGAUAGGACUUACUGAUACGAGCUUUGUACAUCGCGUCCAGAAGUAGUUGAACCGGAUAUCCUUCUCAAGUCUGAAGGAAAGCAAACCGGCUUAUAUAUGUGAGUUUUUUUAGCAUUGAUCAUAAUUCAUGAUGUAGAAACCAAAUACAGUGUGGUAUUUUGGACCUUGCAAACAGGGCACUGACUCGUCUGAGACGCCAUAAUCUGAGCAUGCUGAGCAAUCUGAAUCCAACUCCUCCGCUUUCUUUAUGAUCCGUGAAGACGAGUAUCAACGAUUGGAAUGGUACAGUAGAACAUACAUCGAAAAUGAACCAUGUUGACAAGUACCUGUUUACUCACAUUGACAUAUAAUUAGAAAUUUAGAAAAUCUCAUUCCCUCUGUUUAUAUAUGUACAUAAAGAUUGAAUCUUUAACUAUACCUUAUUGCUAUUUUCUUAGGUUCAUCAACAAGAAGAUAAGACUCUGGAUGAAGAUACGCGACGAAGAAAGUAAGUAAAAUGUCAAUAGCAAAGAAGCAAUCAACAAUGUUGUCAACAAUGAACAGAGUAUCAUCUUUCUUGUAUGACAAGAAUGCAACUUCAAACAGAGAAAUCCAAGCUGUGUAAAUAACCAUAACAACUAGAAACAUCUCCCAACACCUGAAAUCAUAACAAUCAUUAAGUUCAAAAGCGGAAAUGUCAAUCAGUCGAUCAGAGUCAUUUUAUCUUACCUGUAACGUGGAUUAUAAGGCGAAAUGAUGAAUCUUCGGAGUUUAGUAGCGUAGUUGAUUCGAGCUCCAAGUGAUGGUAGAAGAUCACUAGAGAAAAAACCACUAUGUGUGGUUUCUGUAUCCAUUUGGAACUCCUCCACACAGAACCGUUGUAAACAGUUUUUAGCAUAAGAAAAUGACAUUAUUAUAUAUUGCUGCUUCUUUUUUUUAAUUUUUAGAGUUUCUUUGAAAACGCGAUAUCUAAUAUUUAAACUAGUUAUUUUUUAGCGCGUUUAUAUAUAUAGAGGAUGUAGUUGAAGAAGUAGUUGGGGUGAUACACGGGUCAAGUGUUUCUUUAUUGUGAUUCUUUUGAAAAAGCAUUUAACUUUAAGAACGUGACAUUGCUACUUCUUAUGGUAUCUUUCCACAAGUGAGGUCCGGAGAAGGUAGACUGUAUGCUGAUCUUACUUUAGGGUUCGAAGAAGGUAGAUCGUAUACCGAUCUUACUGUAGACUGUAUGUAGAUCUUAUUGUAGGGUCCGAAAAAGGUAGUUUGUAUGCAGACCUUGUUGUGGGGUCCGGAGAAGGUAGAUUGUAUGCAGACAUUACGGUUACCUAGUGGAGAUAGCUAGAGAGUCCCGUUUUCAAAAGCUCGAGUGUGCAAAUGCAAGUAAAAAGGAGAAGAAAAACAUAACGAUAUCGAAACACAGUAAACAAAUGACGUGGCGAGAUAUAAGUUAUACGGUUGUUGAAGUGGCAGACAUGAUUUUCAUGAUAAUAAUUCAGGUGCAAAUGAAAUUUUGUGAGAGAAUUAAGAGAAAGAAAAAUGGAAAUAAUGUUGUAAGAUUUUUGGGGGAAAAUGGUAAUGGUGGUGGGAUCUCCACCAAGAUAGAAAUUUUAAGAAUAAGCAUUUUAUUGUAAGGAUGGAAUGGAAUUUGAGUGAAAAAACAGAUAGGUGUUUUUCAUUUCAUUUUCUAGAAUUGGACCAACAAAUCACAAAUAGGAUUUGGGGAACUAUUUUGUGGAAAACACGUGGACCAAUAAGAAAUCGAAUUCCAUGUGAGAAAACUUUAGUUUUUUUUACAAGUAACAAAAAAAAAAUCUACUUCCUUUUUAUCCUUUCCUUUUCAAAUUUAAAGAAUCAAUUUUUCUAACCUUAUGUUAUUAAUAAAGUAGUUGUUGCUACAAUGUAAGUUCGAUUUUUUAAGUUGUGAUCAUGUCUUAAGGGAUACAAUUGGAAAUGACGUUGGACUACGAUAUUCUCAUUUGUACUACACCUUUUCCAUUUCGAAUUCUCUAUUGAAGUUGUAGACAGAAUAGUUGACAAAAUUUGUAAAAGGUCGAUAAAAUCGUAGAAUGAUUUUAUUUGGAAAUUGAAAUGAUGCCCAUGCCUAACAAAUGUUGUUGUGUCUUCUCCAUACAUAAGGUUCCAUGUGGUUGAUUUUUAGAAUUCAUUGAAUCCCUUUUGGUAUUUUAAGUCACAAAUUGUAUCAUAUAUUACAAAUUUUGUUUUAGUUAAUGUUGGUAUGGAAUGCAAAAUGAUAGAGACGGGUGAAGGGUUGGUUCAUGCAAUAAAUAACACGCCCACAUGCAUAAAAUUUCUUAGAAAAUGAGGUGUUUGUGAAGAUGGGUGAGAUUAAAUGGAAAAGGAUAUAGUCUUUAAGUUCUAUUUAAUGAUGAUGAUUAGGGGCGGAGCCAAGUUAGGUAAGAUUUAAGGAGUUUAUUUGAAUCUUUUUCGAUAAAAAAAUAUGUCGAUUGUUAUACAAUUAAAAUUAUUUUUAUAUAUAGUAAACGUUGAAUAAUCUUUGAUUCCUUUAUGUAUGUAAAAAAAAUUUAUAUUUUAAAUUUUUUAAUAAAAAUUUCUGAUUUCAUCUCUGGUGACGAUAUCAUCAUCACGAUGAAAGAGAAUAUUAAGGAGGAGGAGGACCCCAUUUAGUAGGGCUUAGGAGGGGAAUUUUAUUAUGAAAAUCACAUUAUUUGGGAAAGAUGUUUUGCCGACUUAAUUUGCACUGUAGCAAAAUUAAACUCCAUUUAUCAAUCAAUUACAGUAAAGCGGUAAGUAAAUAUUUAUUUUUAAUCAAGCUCAGUUUGAAUCUAAUUGAAUACAGUCAUCUUUGUUAAAAGUUAUUUUAUUUUUCAGUGUACGACUUUUUUAUAUGAAUUAUAUUUUUUACAUAAAUUUAAUGGAGAUAAAAACCUUCAUAAUGUGUACGUACAAAAAUAAAUCGUAACCAAAUAAAUUUAUAAAAUAUUCUAGAAUAAUAUGGUCAAAUCGAUCAGCAAUAGUGACAUACAAAUCGAAGGAUCACACAUACGGUUGCUUAAUUAUUAAUCUAAUGCUUUUAAGAUAAGGUUCUAAAAGUUUGGCGAGUCAAAGUAAAAUUUUGUAAGUAUAGAAAAUUUUGGUUUUUAUAAAUUUGCUCAAAUUAUCGAUUUAAAGUUUGAAUGUAAAAAACUAAUCACAAUCAAUAUAAAAUUAAUCAAUUUGUGAGGAAUUCUAAUAAGACAAGCCAUCAUUAUAUUCUCGAAAGAACUUGUACUAGAAACCAAAUUUAGUUUAAGAGAAAUUUUGGGUUAAAAUUAUCAAUAAUUUUAAAGUACGUUAUGAAUGAGAUUAUUUUAAUUUUAAUUAAUAAUUUUGUAUUUGAAUUUUAGAUAUGAAAUUAACUUUGAUAACGAGUUCAAAUCUCGAAUGGACUCCUAGCUAGCACGAAUAUAGAAUAGUAGGGCAAGAUUAAAAAAAAAAAUCGGAUAAUAAGAAACUUUUAAAAAAAAAUAAAAAAAAUGUAUCAGUAGUAUUAUAUUUUAGGCUAAGGAGCUAUAUUUCUCCUUAACUUGAAAGAUAAGUGUCAUUUGCACUUCCGUUUACAUUUUAUUUUAAGCUGGCCUUUAAUUUUUAUCUAUUAAAAAAUAAUUAGAUUAUAUAAUUAUUUUGUUGGAUGUAAUUUAUACUUUUAGAUUAUAAUAUUUCAUAAUGAUUGUUUUGCUAGAGGUAAAUAAAUCCAACUUUUAACGACAACAUAAAAAAUUAAGGCUGUAUUUUAUAUAAUAAAAAAAUAUUUUACGAGGGAUGAGAGUUGAGGGAAGAAACAAUAAACUUAGAAUGUAUCAAUCAAAUAAAAAAAUAUUUUUUGAAAAUAUUUUUCUCCCUCCCUACGAAACAUACUGAGACACCAACUCGUUUAAAAGGCAAAAAUGCAAAUAAUUCUUUACAUGACCUAAUAGUAGCGUCACAAGUGGUCCAAAACUUAUAAAGAAGAAUAAAUGUGUAAAGUCUCUUUCUUCUUGUGUAAAAAUUAAAACAACAAACUAAAAUAUGUAAAGAAUCUAAGUCUCUUUUAACUAAGACCAUAGAGUAAAAUAUAAAGGAUAUCCUCUAUUUGUGGUCUAGUAUAAUCCAUAUAGGAAUUUACCCUACCAUACAUACACAAAAAUUAUUGUUUAAUUUCAUCCUCUUAUAUGGAACAAACAACUCCACCUUAUAAAUAAAAGGGAAAAUGCACAAGUACCCCCUCAACCUAUGCCCGAAAUUCCAGAGACACACUUAUACUAUACUAAGGUUCUAUUACCCCUGAACUUAUUUUAUAAGUAAUUUUCUACCCCUUUUUAGCUUACGUGGCACUAGUUUGAAAAAAAAAUCAACCAUCAUUGGGCCCACAAGAUAGUGCCACGUAGGCUAAAAAGGGGUAAAAAAUUAUUAAUAAAAUAAGUUCAGGGGGGUAAUAGGACCUUAGUAUAGUAUAAGUGUGUCUCUGAGAUAUCGGGCAUAGGUUGAGGGGGUACUUGGGCAUUAUCCCUAAAUAAAAAAACAAUGAUAUGGAAAGUGAAAAAUAAUUGCAGAAUUGUAAUAACUUAAUUGUAGUUAAAAAUAAAUUUUUAGUAAUAUGUAGCAAUUUUUGUAAAUAUCUUCAAAGCUUAUACUGACAUUAAAUUCAAUAUCAGUUAACUAAUAUUAAUAAAGAUUUUAUCACUCUUUAUUAAUAUUUAUUUAUUACAAGUAAAAACUGUUUUUUAGUUGCAAUGGGCCAAAUAAAAAUAAAAGGGCAACUUGCAAACAUAAAAUUCAAAUUUGUAUGCUACAGCAAAAUUUGCAUAAUUGCGCUCCAUAACAAAUAUAUAAAUAUAUAAUUCGCUAUACAUAUAAAACUGAAAGCUAUGCCCAUUUCGUUGUAAUUAUAAGUGUAUAGGACGGAGAUAUUUGCAUUUGCAUGUGUAUAUAAAAUUUUCUCUCGCUUUAUACAAACAGAAACACAAUAUAUACAAUUAUGUUGUAUAAAGCAAGAGAGGCAAGCGACACUGACAAACAAUUUGUUAAGAAACACAAAUAAAUUAAACUAUUUGCUAAGGAACACAAAUAAAUCAAACAGUAGCUACUGUAUUUAUUUUACAUUAUUAAUUUGCUAUUCUAUACAAGCAAAAGACCCAUACGUAAGUAGAAAUUAUAUGUAAGAAAAUAGAUAUACCAAUUUUAAAUUUUUAUAUCAUGUAAAAUUUAUUAACUUCAUAACAACCAAUAAUGGACACGUGAUAUAUAUGCAGCAUAGUUUUCAUGUAAUCUCAAAAAUGUGAUGUGUAUAAUUGUAAGAAAUAACUGUAAUAUUUUCAAAAUUCACUCAGAAUAAUAUGAAAAUACUUCACUUUCUACAUUCAAAUGAAGUGAGGGGUAACUUUUCUUCCUUUUUGAUUUAAAAAAAAAAUCUAUUUUUAAUAGUAUCAAAUACCAAAAAGUAACUUUUCUUGAAAAUAAUAAAUAUUAUUAUUUUUUCUCUAAGCUUAUGCCAACGAAGUUGGAUCUUAAAUACAAAUAGUUUCGUAUUGUCAAUGUCAAGAGAUAUGAAUAAUAAUAAUCCUUGUCUUUUUCUUUUAUUUAUAUUUUUAUAUUUUUCGAUCCGUUAACUUUGUUAGUAGUUUGCCCUUUGACAAGACCAACAAAAUAAAAGUUAAUCCUUUUGUUUUAAUUUUUUAUAUAAUUAAAAUUAAAUAUGUGUUAAAUAUAUUAAAAUAUUUUUUAAUUUUAUAAUCUUAAAUAUAUUGAAAAGAUAUCACCCUUUCAAAAUCCGACUAAAAAAAUAUUGGUCAAACAAAUGAAAGAAAAUAUUUUUGAUAUAUUAUUUAAUUCAAAUAAAAUAUUUUAAAGUGAAAAUUGAAAAAGAUUGGGCAUUAGAAGAAAAAGGAUCUUCUUAGAUAUAACUGCCACGUGCAUCACAUGUGAGAAUUAGUGGGUGUAGGUUCCAUGGAGUUGGGCUAAGUUUGGCCACAUCCACUCCACUUGUUUCCUAAGUUACAAUUUAAUUAGCCCACUUGACAUCAUAUCCAUUCAUUCACGAUCCAAAAAUUCGAGUCAUAAUGAUAUUUAUUAAAAGCUAUUAAUAGAUUAGCUAAUUUAUAUUUCGAAAUAACAAAAAUAAUAAGUAUAUCACGCAAAAAAUUGGAAGCAAUGGAAUAUAAUAGAGAAAAAAUAAUAAAAAAGAGAAAAGACGUAAAUAUAUAUAUAAAUCUAAUAAUUAUACUAAAAUUUAAUUGAAUUUAAAUUCGUAAAAUCAAUCUCAAAGGUUGACCUCGACACCUUCUUUAUAUUGGAUUGCUAAAGCCUAAUUCCCAAACGAAGUGUUUGGCAUGUUACUAAUGCAAUCAAAAUUCCGACGUAUUUAAUAAGUUUGGUUUAUCACUCCUAAAACUCAUUCAUUUCAUGUAAUUUAAGACAUAAAUUAUAUUUUUUUUAUUUGAUAUUGAUAUCUACGUGACUAAAUUUGAAUUCAUGUUGAAAAGUUUUAUAUUAAGAGAUAAAACGCUCCUUAAGAAAGGUGACAUUGUACCCUAUAAACUCAAACCUGAAAACUCUCGUUAAGAAUAAAAAUAUAUUUACCGCUCCGUAUCCUUCGUCAUUUCACAACUUGCCCUUCCCUAGCUAAUCACCUAUAUAUCAUAUUGGCACAAUCUUCAUUGAACUUUGUAGUUCAAUUUGGUAGGACCUACUCAAGAUCCUUGUCAGAAACAACCCCACACCUAGGGAGUCUCUUAUUAUCCUUUAAUCUCCAUUUCUCAAUCCAUCCCAUUUAAAUUAAUUAAUUAGUAAAUACAUUUAAGAAAUUAGUACUACUACAUACUAAUUAAUUAAUUAAGCCUUUUUCAUGCUAGAAUAAAAAGGCUAGAGUAGUAGUCCCCAAAAUAAUAAGUUGGAUCCUUUUCUUGAAGUUUCAAGAAGGUCAAUUUCUCUUGACUUUUAGUUAAAUUGGAUGAAUAAAGAAAACAUUUGAGAAAAAUCCUCACCACCAGACCAAAAAGUCUAAUCAAAGAUAACUUAUUUUAAUCAAAUAUAUUUAUUAAAUUAUUACUUGUGUAGACACAUAGGCCAGCAUAUAGUAUAUGAGAUGAUAAAAUAGAAUAUAAAUUUUUAUGUAUUCUCUUUAUGAAAGUCAAAGUCUUUUUUCCAUUUUAAAAAUCUCUUCCCAAUUAUUUGGAGUUCAGACAAAAAUAACAAAGGACAAAAAGAAUAAGAAACAAAAUGCAAAUUUAUAAACUUGAAAAAAAAA